rnacentral:tRNA from 2 species
CGAGGCGUAGCUCAGCAGCAGAGCGUGCGGCCGACCUCCGCAAGGACGCUGGUGCGACCCCAGCCGCCUCGACCA